GUUCAGUUCGGUAAUGAUGGAAGGUGGUUAUGACUGAGGAAGAAUAUCACUGAUAUAUGUUGUCAUAAUGGCCAAUCAGCUCAUGAUGGGCGACCAUAAAAUUGCUUGAGUGAUGACCUUAAUUUGAUUGAUUCAUAGCCCUGUCUUAGCAACUUUUGAGAAAGCAGUAUUCCUCGUUCAACAAAAUCAACGUACUUUGAGCUAGCUCUAGAGUAACGUUUCAAUUGAGACACAUAUACUCCAUAUGCUGCUGCUACUUUUUUCAAAUUCGUAAAUAUAUAUCUCUGAUUGGCAACCACUGUUCUACAUGUAAUUGCCACUUUAGAAACCUAUUUUAUAGUAAACAGC
rnacentral:lncRNA from 1 species